rnacentral:rRNA from 1 species
AGCAGCCGUGGUAAUUCCAGCUCCAAUAGCGUAUAUUAAAGUUGUUGCAGUUAAAAAGCUCGUAGUUGAAUUUCGGGAUCAAUACGCCUGUCGUGCCUUCGGUACGUACGGGUGUAAUUGGUCUCUACCUUCUGAGGAUCCUUGAUGUCAUUAAUUUGGUGUCUUGGGGAAUCAGGACUGUUACCUUAGAAAAAAUUAGAGUAGUUUAAAGCAGGCAUACGCUUGAAUACAUUAGCAUGGAAUAAUGAAAUAGGACGUUCGAUUCUAUUUUGUUGGUUUCUAGGAUCGACGUAAUGAUUAAUAGGGAUAGUUGGGGGCAUUAGUAUUCAAUUGUCAGAGGUGAAAUUCUUGGAUUUAUUGAAGACUAACUACUGCGAAAGCAUUUGCCAAGGAUGUUUUCGUUAAUCAAGAACGAAAGUUAGGGGAUCGAAGACGAUCAGAUACCGUCGUAGUCUUAACCAUAAACUAUGCCGACUAGGGAUCGGAUGAUGUUAAUUUUUAAUGACUCAUUCGGCGCCUU